rnacentral:rRNA from 1 species
CCUACGGGAGGCAGCAGUGAGGAAUAUUGGUCAAUGGACGAGAGUCUGAACCAGCCAAGCCGCGUGAAGGAUGAAUGCCCUCUGGGUUGUAAACUUCUUUUGUGUGGGAAUAAAGAGUGGAAUGCAUACCCUCUUGUAUGUACCUUAUGAAUAAGGAUCGGCUAACUCCGUUCCAGCAGCCGCGGUAAUACGGAGGAUCCGAGCGUUAUCCGGAUUUAUUGGGUUUAAAGGGUACGGAGGGGGGUUGUUAAGUCAGUUGUGAAAGUCUGCGGCUCAACCCUACAAGUGCAGUUGAAACUGGCAGGCUUGAGUACAGUAGAGGUGGGCGGAAUUCGUGGUGUAGCGGUGAAAUGCUUAGAUAUCACGAAGAACUCCGAUUGCGAAGGCAGCUCCCUGGACUGCAACUGACGCUGAGGCUCGAAAGUGUGGGUAUCAAACAGGAUUAGAUACCCUUGUAGUC